CGUUACUCAGUUUAAACUGGCUUUACUCUCUUCCAGGGGGACUUGAAAAGUGACAGCCUAAGACAAGUAGGGAAUGGAGAGCUGACUCCAGUGCACUACUGGCUACUGUUGAAAAGAAAAGAAGGAAGGGAGGAGAGAAAACAAGAAAAGAACUCAGGACGGUGGUUUCCAAAUUUGUAAAGCAGGAUGAGGCACACGAGACGUUCUCAACAAAUGACGGUGAUGGUUGGGAGAGCAGUGGUCUCCAGAGCUUCCAGAGUCUCAGCGGAGAGCUGUGAGAGGCGGUGCAGCCCGGCACCCCAAAGGGGUCUGUUCUGCCCACGUGUUCAGCAGGGCACACGUCUCAGAGAAAAAAGGCCUCCCCCGCUGCCACCGCCCAAGGAAUAGCUCCCAACCAGUGAUUGACGAGAACACCGGGCCGGCUCCCCAGGAUAACUCUGCAGUGCACGUUCUGGAGCAGCUCUGGGCAAUCCCCAAGAGGAGGGAGCCCUGGUGCCCACUGGCUUGAUGACACAGCAUUCAUUGAUUGCCUUUCCACCCUGUCCCCAUUCCCCCCUUGAGGUUCCCUGGGAUCGUCUCCAAAGAAGUUACUUGCACUUGAAUCCUAUUCCCAGGAACCAAAUUGUGACAGAUACAAACCGAAGAGCCCAGCUGAAUACCCCAAAGUGCUAUGAUGUCUGUACAGGCUGCAGGUGCCAAGAAUCCAUGGGUGACACCCGGAGACAGGCCUUUCGCCCUGGCUUCCCACAGUGGGAAACUGUUAUUCCUCUGGCUACUGGAGAUCUGCACUCCACGAAUCCGCCCACAGGUCCUCUUCUGGGAGCUUCCUUGGCAAUGUCCCUGGAGGCCAGGAGCCACGGUGGGCUGAUGCAAGAAGCCAGGAUGGUGUCUCUAGGCUGCUCCACGUCAACACGAGCAACUGAACAAGAAGAAGCACACUCCAUGCAGGCAAAUUGGAGCUUUCCCUCCAUUCUUUUGCUCCUUCUUUAUAAUAGGGUGUAAAAAUGGAAAAAUAUGUCAGCCUUUGGCCCCUUCUCUGUAAAAAGAUAAAAAUGUUUUAAAAGAUCGUAAUUAAAAAAAAUAAAUAAAUGAUCGUAAU